UCCGUAGGCGGGCAAUUAAGUCAGAGGUGAAAUCCUGCGGCUCAACCGUAGAACUGCCAUUGAUACUGAUAUUCUUGAAUGUAGUUGAGGUAGGCGGAAUGUGUAAUGUAGCGGUAAAAUGCUUAGAUAUUACACAGAACACCGAUUGCGAAGGCAGCUUACUAAACUAUGAUUAACGCUGAGGCACGAAAGCGUGGGGAGCGAACAGGAUUAGAUACCCUGGUAGUCC
rnacentral:rRNA from 1 species